UCCCUCUGGCAAUGGGCAAAGAAAUGCCUUGUUGCUAGUGAUGUUCUUAUACUAGUUAGGGGCAGAGCAGAUGAUAGUCCAUCGUUGUUCUAGCUUGAUGCUUGGCUUGGUGGUUAAUGGUGUUUUAUGCCUAGGACUUAUAA